ACUCAAGUUACAUGAGUCACCUACAAAACAAAAGGUUAGCACAAUAUAGACAAGCAAACAUCAAUCAAAUUGGUAUGAUCUUGGAAGCACUAUGCUCAACCUGAAACAGAUGAACUCAACAUAAGUCCAAAGGACCACUAGGGCUAGCCUAGGGUCAAAGAUGAAAGAAAAAGUCAAGGCAGCAAGGAAAAGUCAACUCAAAGUCAAAGUCA
rnacentral:lncRNA from 1 species